rnacentral:RNase_P_RNA from 1 species
AAGGGGUGACACUUUCCUCUGAAAAUUGAAGGUUUUCAGAGGAAAGUCCGGACAGGAAGGGCACUCCGCUGCGGAAAGCGCAGGUGGGGGUAACCUCAGGCAAGGCGUAACAGAGAUCAGACCGGCCCGCAAGGACCAAGGGUGAAACUGUGAGGUAAGAGCUCACGAUGCUGUGGCAGUGAUGUCGCGCAGAGACGCCACCGGAGCCUGCAAGACCAAAUAUACCGGCAUUGAGGGUGCUGCCCGCACCCGCCGGGGGGUAGGUCGCGUAGAUAAAUGACAACAUAAAACGGAAACCGGCUUACGGCCCCGCCUUUUUU